GUGGAGAAAAAGAAAAGUGAGCUUUUCUGCGUGUGUGUUCUUUGGAACCGUGAAAGAGAGAGCAGAAAGAAGAGAAGGGAUAAGCUGAAAUAUGUGAUUCAUAAUCUGAUUAUUUGCUGCUAUUUGUCUUCAUCUCUGUUAAUUAAGAUGUCCAGUCAUUCACGAAGGUCAGAAAGGAUCGCCCUUAUUAGCCAGGAGGAAAGGGAAAGUUUGCCAAAAAAUAUUCCUACAAAUUUACCAGGGUGCAGAGGCAAAGGGAAAGGUCGGGAUAGAGGCUGUGGAAGAGGUCGUGGGAGAGGAAUGAUUAAUCAACCUGAAAUUCAUCCAGAUCAUGGUGAAUCAAUUCAGGAAAAUGUAAAUCAACAACCUGUACAACAUCCUGAGUAUGUUACUAUGGACAUAUUAGUAGAGGAAAUGAGCAAGUUGAGAAAUACUCUGACAUCUAUUCUGGGAGUACCAUCCAAAGUAGAAACAGAAAGAGUUGAGAUAAAUCCGUAGAUUCAAUCUACAAGAACUAGGGGGUGAUAUUAAAAUGUUCUUAACUUGUAAACCUCCAACAUUUUCUGGAGAUAGAGAUCCGGUAAAGGCAAUGUGCUGGCUGGGGAGAUAGAAUCCGUAUUCAAUACUAGAAAGUGUUUAUGUGAAGAUAAAGUCAAAUUUUUUGUAUCAA